rnacentral:rRNA from 1 species
UAGUCCACGCCGUAAACGAUGGAUACUAGCUGUCCGGGUCCUUGAGACCUGGGCGGCCAAGCGAAAGUGAUAAGUAUCCCACCUGGGGAGUACGUUCGCAAGAAUGAAACUCAAAGGAAUUGACGGGGGCCCGCACAAGCGGUGGAGCAUGUGGUUUAAUUCGAUGAUACGCGAGGAACCUUACCAGGGCUUAAAUGCAUAACGACGGGUUUAGAGAUAGACUUUCCUUCGGGCGUUUUGCAAGGUGCUGCAUGGUUGUCGUCAGCUCGUGCCGUGAGGUGUCAGGUUAAGUCCUAUAACGAGCGCAACCCCUGCCGUUAGUUGCCAGCAUGUAAAGAUGGGGACUCUAACGGGACUGCCGGUGCAAACCGCGAGGAAGGUGGGGAUGACGUCAAAUCAUCACGGCCCUUACGUCCUGGGCCACACACGUGCUACAAUGCCGGUACAGAGAGCAGCCACGUCGCAAGGCGGAGCGAAUCUAUAAAACCGGUCACAGUUCGGAUCGGGGUCUACAACUGACCCCGUGAACG